AUCCUCGAUCUGCUGUGGACAGAUGAAGUGGAUGUGGCUGUCGAUGCCGCCGGCGGUCAGGAUCUUGCCCUCCCCCGCGAUGGCCUCGGUGCCCGGGCCGACGAUGAUGUCGACGCCGGGCUGGGUGUCGGGGUUGCCCGCCUUGCCGAUCUUAUGGAUGCGCCCGUCGCGCAGCCCCACAUCCGCCUUGUAGAUGCCCGUCCAGUCGACGAUCAGCGCGUUGGUGAUGACGGUGUCGACCGCACCUUCGGCCCGCGUCGCCUGCGACUGGCCCAUGCCGUCGCGGAU
rnacentral:sRNA from 1 species